AUGGUCCGAUCUGGUAUGGGCAAGCCCGGCGGUAGCGGUAGCAACUCCAAAUCUGCAUUUAGUCGAGCUCUUUCGAAAGUACGUACUAAUAGGCAAGAACAGGGGUCUGCCAAGAAAGCUUCCGGUGGCUCUCGCUCAAAGAAACGGAGCUCCGUCAAGAAGAAACCAUGGAAGGACAAGUUGUACACCAGGUGUGCUCCUUCUAUCAUUGUAGAUCUCUUGGAAGACCUAGGUGAGCAGCAGAGAAGGCUUGUAGAAGAGAUGGGUUUUCAGGGAUUAUAUAGUCUGAAGCUACACAAGCUGAAUAAACCGAACAUACAUACUACAUACAUACUACAUAAACCGAACACUAUUCUGGUAUCUCCCUGA
rnacentral:rRNA from 1 species